UGUUGUUCCAAUCAUCCAAUUAAAGACACACGAGGUCAAACGUGUGCUUGGUGCUGCUGUGUCGAACUUCUGCAAUAUGUAAAAAUGAUUCCCUCUAACAGGAGCCACAACUCGGACAUUUCUCUGCCUACAGUUUGCCUGUGUGAACAACGAGCUGACUGACAGGAAGCUGAACUCACCACAGCUGCUGUUUCUCUGCAGGGGAGGAAACAUUUCGCAGACAUUUGUGAGGCAUUUCUCUUCCUAAUGGAAAAUAAAGACGGGAGAGUGGCCGAGAUGGAGGCUCCAAAUGAAAAACAUGGAGUCAGUGACCUGAGGCCAGGGCCUGUCCAUCCAGGCCCCAACGCCCGCCUGCAUCAGCCCGGCUCUUCUUCUCCUUCUUCUUCUUCUUCUUCUUCUCUGCUGCCACUGAUGUCCACAUAUAGAUGUCAAAGAAGAUGUUGGACAGAAAGGUUGGAGGGUUUCGGGGGCUUUUUUCCAGCUGGGGAAGAAGUUUUUGUAUUCUACAUGCAAGACGAUUGCAACACUUCAGCGUCUGACAGGAGCUCUGCAGACACAUCUCGCCUCUGUAUCGCUUCAAUUCUCCGAUGGGACCUCGGGCUCUUGUCAUGUUAUCUCUUGAAAAAAAAAAAAAAAAAGUUGCUUUUAUCAGUUCACCAAAAAGUUUUUUGCCACUUUUUUUUUUGAAGAUUGGAGCUGAAUAAAAUUACCGCCGUGCCUGUGAGAUUUCAAUCAAUAAACGUGCACGUCGCUGUAGAAAUGUUGUGCUGCAGAGUCGACAGCGAGAUCGAUUUCUGAGCAUCCACAGCAAAUCUGCAAACGCAAUCUUCAGUUGAGAGAUGAUACCCGUGUGUGUGUGUGUGUGUGUGUGUGUGUGUGUGUGUGGCCUUAUUUAAGAUAUCUUCUUCAGUCAUUUGCAAAACUUGCAAAAAAAAAAAAAAGCCUUCGCUGCAACUCUCCACUACAUGUUUUUCUGAUAAGACUCCCCUGAUUAAGCAGCGGUAUGUGCAGAAAUCUUCAUCUGACUGGUUUGCGUUCAGUUUAUUUUCUCUGCUGCCGUCUCUCCUGGACGUCUUUUGUCCAUCCAGCCACCGGUGUUUAAACACACAGUCUUUCACGCCGCACCGCCAUUGUCCAGAUUCGGCCACCAGUCACGGCGCGUAACGGCUGAGCGGGUUAGCGCUGUGCUUAGCCCACGCAUCGAGCUUAUCUCGCGCUGCAGGGACUGAAACAAACAACAAAAGGCUAAAUAAGGGAUUUGGCGCUAGCACGGCUGAGGCUAAUGAUUCUCCCACUAGCCAUACACGCUUUCUCCAUGUAGCUUUUUUUUUUAGUCACAUACUGUAGGCUACGCUUCAAGCACAGUAGCGUUGUCCUUAUGUGGCUCCACAGAUGUAUAGACCCAGACAAUGAAGUCCCUGUUUGUAGCUUAAAAACAGAAACUGUCAGGCUUCAGAUUUCUCCUCCCACGAGGGGUUUGAAGUGGUCAAGCUUUCAAAUGAGAGAGCAAGACAGUAAACAUAUAGUCCUGUCAGAAAACAUGUUUUGGUGGGUUGGUUUGUCAGCAGGAUUACAAAAGAACUACAGAACAGACGUGUGUAGGACGGGUCUCAGCCCAGAAUAGACCCAAUUCAAGUGGCUGUACGCAUUAUUUGCUUUUAAAAAAGUGUUAUGUAGCUCGAUAUUCCAACAGUAACAGCACCUGUUUGAUCAUCAUGUCCAUCCUCCCCCUGCUCAUGUAGUAAUAUCUAUCCAAUCAGGACGGAGAGGUCCAUAAAGAGGCGGUCCUGUGGUGACGUAGAGAGGACGGAGAGGAUUUCUUUGUGCAGAGCGGACAGGAAUUUGGCUCCCAGCAGCUUUAAAGAUGCUCCCUGCUGGUGGUGGAUGGCCUCCUUCAUCUCUCUCUGACAGUUUUCUGACUCCUGGUCAUUUACUUUGAACGCUUCCCCGUCGAUGCUGUGAUGGAUUCUGGUCCGGUGGUUCAGACAGCAGAUCCUCUCUGUUCAGGAUGUUCCUCUCCGCCGUCACACGUGAAGUCACGCAUCGCUUCCUCUCCAUGUGCGUCCUGUCUUUCGUGCCUACCAGCAGAGAUCUCGGGGUUUCUUGUGGUCUUUGCUGGCUGUGUUUUGGUUUUAAAACUCUGGCUAGAUGUUCUCACAGCCCAGCCAUGUAUGAACGUCCUGUUGGAGUGGUUCUUGUUCGUUCCAAGUCGACAUUCUCAUAAUCCGGUGCUGCUGGCCUGUGCAGCCAUCUCCCUCUGUCUCUCCUCCUACUCACCAGCGAGAUGCUCGGCUCUGUGUGAGAGCGUCCUCACCACUGAUCAGCCGAGCCAAGUCCAAACUCUAAUGAGGGCCGUGAGAUGUGGUUGAAAGAAAUGGUUCUGGGUUAUCUUUAUUGUCCAACGAGGGGAUUUUAUUUAUGUAGCGAGGGGGUUUCAAAAGGACCACAUGAGUGACAACAUCAAUAAUAAUUUAUGUAACUGAUGCAGAGAAGGAAAGUUCACAGGAAGUGCAAAUAUACCAGAAUGCAGAUAUGCACGUACGCAGAGUGCUAAUUGCCAUGAAUGAAGCGUUUCAGUAGCACGUGGAGUUUUUCUUCAAACAGCAUCAACAUCUGCAGCAUCUGCCUGUGACCGAGGUUGAACCAGCUCCUUCCUGAGAUCGUACCAGAAAAUGUGGAUCCUAACGUGACCACGAGGUCAAAAAAUGGUUCGAUUUGUUGAAAAAAUGUUUGCUAGCAUGCACAUUUCUUUUGGAAGCCAAAUGACAGAGAGCCAGCUGGAUGGAUGGCAAUGAAAUAAUUAAUUUAUAUGUUAUUUUUAAUGUGAUAUAUGCGAUCGGACUGAAGCACAGGCAUUAACAAUAACUAUAUAAAAACAGCAGUCUUUUCGCUGAUGGUCUCGUUUGCUGUUACAAAGGUAUCAGAGGAAUCACAAGACUGUUUCAUAAAACACUUAAAUCUUCCUCAUCGUCACUAUAAAUUAGGAUUAUGAUGUUAUUCUGUCAUCCUGUUGUCUUUCAAGAAUUUCCUUUGGGCUUAAUAAAGUUCUGCCUUGUCUUGUCAAAAUGUUCUUCCAAAGAUCAUGAUGUUAACGAUGUGCUCGUGCGUUGGCUGUUUAAACGUCGAGACUCAGUUUCAUUCAAUAUCCGAAGCAGCGAUGGUAAAGAAAAUCUGCGUGGUGAGCUAUUUGAGCCUCCCUCCAAUCUGUGUUCGAUUUCACGGACGUGUUCGAGGGAGGA